ensembl:lncRNA
CCCAUAAAGGGCACCAAGGCCCAGACCCGGCCCGCGGGGCAGACCCCCAGGGUCUCCUACGGGGGCUCGGACCUGGUGGAGAGCGACUACGGAAGCUCCGAGGAGGUCAUGUUCUAGUGGGAUACGUUCUGUUCUCUUUGAGUCCCGCCCGCGGCGGACAGGACGCAGGGUGAACCAGCGGGGGGGGGUCGGUUGGAGGUUCACAAACGUUUCUCUGCCUGAGGGAGGCUUCAAACCUCCUUCCCCAGAACAGCGUUAGCGACAGCUGAUGGUUAACAACAAAGGAGAAGAGGUCUGCUACCCUUCAUAACAGAGUCACAAAGAAAGUGUAGCAGACUGCUACAGAAGAAGUUUGAGUUUUCAGGUCAGAAGCCAGCCCCUGCUAUAUCGCACCUUUUGUGUCUGCUCAACCCCUUCCCCACCAAGUGGGAAUGAAUGAACCAUUGAUUACCAUUUAGGAAAUGCAUUAUUUUUUUUUGUUACAUCGAGAGUAGUGGAAACCACGUAGAAACCACUUGCAGGGGUCAUAGUGGCCUGAAUGAAAAAAAAACUUCAAUUUAGUCCAUUCCAUUUAUCCAUGUGUUGUGUUUGUUCUAUGAAUUAGUGAUGCGUGUGCUCUGAGUUAAAUAUGUUUGUGCUUUGAUGCAAAAGCAGAUUUGGAUGGAUUUGGAUGGCUUGGAUGUUGUUGCUCUAGCAGUGGCUGCUACCGGCUCUUAAAGUUUUUGGAUUAUAACAAUCCUUUGUCGAUCUCGUCGUCAGGGAUGGUUGCAUUUCAAGAAAGAAUUAACAUAGCUUGUGUUUGCAUUUGUAUGAUUCAUAUUUUUGGUAAAAAAAUAAAGAAAAAAAAGGAAAUAUAAAUGGAAAUUACAGAGCUAAAAAGGGGGGGGUUGUAUCUAUAGCUUCUACACGUUUCUAUGGCACAUCUGGACUUAAGUGAAUUACAUUUCAUGCUGAAACAUUUCAUCGAAUGGCCUGUCCUUGUGGUUGAAUAACACGGGGCUGGAUCCUCGUGGCUAUCUUAGAGAAAACAUUCAUACCCAGGACUAAAUAAGUAUUGGAAUAGAUGUGUUGCCUCUGUAAAUACCAAAGCUUUUAUUUUCUACUGUGCUCUUAUUAUUUCCUCGAUUUUUUUAAUUGGUGUGCGAUGGUGAACUGUGUUUAGUUACAGUAGUAGAUAAACGUAUGCGCACAAAAAGGGAGCUACUCAGCAAUAGAUCAAAUAAAUUCCCGGCCCCCACUUCAUAGCUCGAUAUCAGCGCAGGAACCCCGAAGAAAACCAGUUCAAAGCCCUGGAGUAAUGUGGAUCAAAUAAGAGGUCUUGUUUACUUGAGCCCAUGCAUACAAGCCCCAUUAAUACGGCUGAUCAAGUACCUCUUCCAGAGACACCAAAACAGAAACGUUUAGAACUGUUAUCGUUGAGCAUUAUUAGUCGUAUUAAAGUGGUCAGGUUUGAUAUUGUAGUAGCCUAGGCGUCUUAAAAGGAAAGCAACUGAAAAUGUAACAUUAUUGAUCAUCAACCAUUUAACAUUUAACAAAUUCAUCAGUUGUAGAUACACUUAUUUCACUAAGUUAACGCAAGGCAUAAUGUUUAGGCAUAUCAAGGACAAUUUUUGAUCUUCUCAGGUACGCUUAAUGGUACGCAUACUCUGUGGAGGUGACUUAUCAGAAAAAUAUCUGUGGACCUACCUGUGUGCACGAUGCCCUUUGAUGUUAUCUAAUCCAUGUAGUUAAAACAUACAACAAGCGCACAUAAAUUACACAUCUAAGUAAUUUUGGCAAUAAAACAAAUGUCCGUAGAGAUGUGUUUGUGGACCUUAUGCUUACUGUUUUGGAUGUCCGUGUUGCUAGCUGUUGUUUGUGCGUAGGAUCGGGUCAACUGAAUGUACUUUACUUGUGUUUUGAUUGUUCACUUUUGUGUGACAAAUGUGGGGUACGACAAGCUCCAUGUUUUGGUCUGUUCUUCUCUGUGAGAGAUGUUAUUAAUGCUGUCUACAUUUUGUUUUGUUUUUCAAUAUUG